UACAGAGGUCUCAAGCGUUGUUCGGAUUCAUUGGGCGUAAAGGGUGCGUAGGCGGCGCGGUAAGUCGGGUGUGAAAUCUCGGAGCUUAACUCCGAAACUGCAUCCGAAACUGCCCGACUAGAGGUAGGUAGGGGAGAUCGGAAUUCCUGGUGUAGCGGUGAAAUGCGCAGAUAUCAGGAGGAACACCGGUGGCGAAGGCGGAUCUCUGGGCCUUACCUGACGCUGAGGCGCGAAAGCUAGGGGAGCAAACAGG
rnacentral:rRNA from 1 species